UUGGAGGGCAAGUCUGGUGCCAGCAGCCGCGGUAAUUCCAGCUCCAAUAGCGUAUAUUAAAGUUGUUGCAGUUAAAAAGCUCGUAGUUGAAUUUCGGGGUCAGUAGGUCGGUCGUGCCACUGGUAUGAACUGGUUUUACUGAUUCCUCCCUCUUGAAGAACUGUAAUGCCAUUAAUUUGGUGUUGCAGGGAAUCAGGACUGUUACUUUGAAAAAAUUAGAGUGUUUAAAGCAGGCUUUAGCUUGAAUACAUUAGCAUGGAAUAAUGAAAUAGGACGUUUGAUCCUAUUUUGUUGGUUUCUAGGAUUGACGUAAUGAUUAAUAGGGAUAGUCGGGGGCAUUAGUAUUCAAUUGUCAGAGGUGAAAUUCUUGGAUUUAUUGAAGACUAACUACUGCGAAAGCAUUUGCCAAGGAUGUUUUCAUUAAUCAAGAACGAAAGUUAGGGGAUCGAAGACGAUCAGAUACCGUCGUAGUCUUAACCAUAAACUAUGCCGACUAGGGAUCGGAUGAUGUUAAUUUUUUAAUGACUCAUUCGGCGCCUUACGGGAAAC
rnacentral:rRNA from 1 species